rnacentral:rRNA from 1 species
UAUGUGAUCGUCUCUCGCAUAUCAAUAAGCGGAGGAAAAGAAACUAACAAGGAUUCCCCUAGUAACGGCGAGUGAAGCGGGAAGAGCUCAAAUUUGAAAUCUUAAAGGGUUUCCCUUUACGAAUUGUAGUUUAAAGAAGUGUUUUCUGUUGAGGUUUUGGUAAAAGUUCUUUGGAAUAGGACAUCAUAGAGGGUGAGAAUCCCGUAUUUGACCUUUACUUUCAACUUUGUGAUACACUUUCAAAGAGUCGGAUUGUUUGGGAAUGCAGUCCAAAAUGGGUGGUAAAUUUCAUCUAAAGCUAAAUAUUGGCGAGAGACCGAUAGCGAACAAGUACCGUGAGGGAAAGAUGAAAAGAACUUUGAAAAGAGAGUUAAACAGUACGUGAAAUUGUCAAAAGGGAAGCGUUUGACACCAGUGUUGUUUUUCUGAAAAUCAAUUAAAGAACUGUUUAUGCUAAGUUGUUUAGACUUUAUCAGCUAACUGUUUAGUUUUGAGCUUUUCUUUAAUGCACUUUUCAGUUAACAAGUCAACAUCAAUUUCUUUUGCUGUAAAAAAGCUUGAGGAAGGUGGCUUGAGAUUCGUCUUAAGUGUUUAUAGCCUCUUGCCUAUGCAGUCGGAGAGAUUGAGGUCUGCAGCGUAGAUCCUUCGGGGCUAAAUGCAUUUGUGCUAAGUUAUAGCAUUUUAUAGACAACUUGUUGACUAUGAUUUGUCUUGUAGCUUACUCGCUUAUGUUAUUUUACCUACGCUUAGGAUGUUGAGUCAUCACACAUCUCU